rnacentral:rRNA from 1 species
AUUGAACGCUGGCGGCAUGCCUUACACAUGCAAGUCGAACGGCAGCACGGGAGCAAUCCUGGUGGCGAGUGGCGAACGGGUGAGUAAUAUAUCGGAACGUGCCCAGUCGUGGGGGAUAACGUAGCGAAAGCUACGCUAAUACCGCAUACGAUCUACGGAUGAAAGCGGGGGAUCGCAAGACCUCGCGCGAUUGGAGCGGCCGAUAUCAGAUUAGGUAGUUGGUGAGGUAAAGGCUCACCAAGCCGACGAUCUGUAGCUGGUCUGAGAGGACGACCAGCCACACUGGGACUGAGACACGGCCCAGACUCCUACGGGAGGCAGCAGUGGGGAAUUUUGGACAAUGGGCGCAAGCCUGAUCCAGCAAUGCCGCGUGCAGGAUGAAGGCCUCGGUUGGUUAACGUUA